CCCGGCCAUCACUCCAAACGUCACCCGCGUCACGCUCACGCGUACGCCCGGAUCUCAUUUCCCCAAUUUCUUUCCUUCGCUUCGCAACCUUCCUACCCCAGAGACUAUAAACCGCGCCGUAUUUCGCCCGCCGUCGCCGGAGGCCACCGCUUCCGCUCGGGACUGACACCACCGUCGCCUGAGGACCGGUCCGGCCAUUCCAUCCGCAUCACAGGAUUCGCUUCGUUGCCAGGAGGCAUGCCAAACACUUGGACAGCGACGGAGUUCAGCGGCAACGACGCAGCACACCGACGCGGACCUCGAUACAUCACCAUCGGCGACAUGGCUGGGAGAUGACAUGACCAGGAAGGAGCACCACCUGGAAUAGGGAGAUGAGGGACUCGUCAACGUAGGCAUGCCUCUCUCUUUGAUCAUGCUUAUAUAUAACUUGCUUUCAAUAUUGCAUAGUAUUUUAUGGUUUAUAAGCAUGCAUGCUAUUUAAUCUUGUAGGUAGUGUCAAUUGACACUUUAAAGUGAUUUGCUUGUUGCUUGUUUCACUUGAUGUUGGAGUGUAAUUAUGUACUAAUCAUGCAUAAAGUAGAAAUACUUAGCCAUGCUCAAUAAUCUAUAUGUAGUUGCCACUUCGGAUGAGUUUCUAGGAUCAAUGACACUUUGAAACUUACAAUUGAGCCCGUCGAGCUAGGACAUUGGGCCAGUUGUUGGUUCAUCUACCCUGGGCGAAACUUACCAACCAAACACUUAUCCAUGUGGCAGAUGAAUCAAGGAUUCAAGUAGCUAUUGGCUACCCUUCAAAAGCUGAAGAGAGAAAUAUGCCCCCCCCAUACCACAUGAUGCCUGAUAAUUCUUGGAUUUUAAGAUCGUGAAUACGGUAAAAUCACACACUAUAUGAGUUCUGGCUCAGUUGCUGAUGCCACCAUAUUGCUUAUGGGGUGUCUAUUUGUCUGAUAUGGUGACAUACACUUAGGUCUUUGCCCCGGUAUCUCACAUCUUUGCGGAUCUAGCUAAAAGCCCUUGCCAUGGCCUCUCCACCAACACACCAAAUUUUGUGUGCUACGGUAGCAACGACUAGUGGCAAUAAGAAGAAAUUGUAUUAUGUGGUUAAGUGUAUAACCUUUGUAGAGUGUAAAAUUGUCUGAAUGGCCACUUGCAAUUAGCCACUUGCAAUUAGGGACGACACAUGAAUCUAUUCUGAAAACAACAAUCUCAGUAUGUUAUUGCAUCAAACAAAGAGCGUGAGUUGGUCGAGCACCCUCCCUAGGAUGAAAUAUAUGCCGGAGAUAAAAACCAUUUUCUCAUCCAAAAAGGCUUUUAACAGAACUAUUGUGAUGUUGCAAAAAAAAGAGGAUGUUUUGGAAAUGAACCAUGUUAACUUUCUUUGAAGCUACAUGUAACUGAUAGGUCUCCUCUCUAGGAGGCAUGUUGAGUAUGUAAUGUACUCAUGGCAGUACUUUUGUGGUACUUCAGAGCUCUAUGAAGGCGAGGGUGUUGACUACGAGUAAUACGAGGAUCCAAAGGAGUGAGGCUAUGUGAUCUACAUUAAUUUUCUGUGGCUGAGGAGUCAAUACAUAUUGUAUUUUUCAAGGAUUUAAACUUCAAGCUAAGCCAAACUAUCUCACUUUCUACUGCUAUCCUAGCUACCACCAGUAUGGCGGCAAAUAAUUGUGAUAUUUGCCAUAGGUCACCAUCAGCUAUAGAUAAAACUAAUAUGUGUAAGUGUACAAGGGAUAAAACAAUCCAUAAUCAAUCAUACAUGCAAAUUUAAUCCAAAACAAUCAUGUAUAUACCUAAAUAACAAAAGCGACAUGUAUAUAACUCAAUAACAUGAAAAUACAAACUCUAACAAGGUAGCAUCUAAUCUAUCUUUAGAGGACACUUUAUUACAGAUCUUCGGUCGACCGGCGAUUGAUUCACGGUGAAUCCUAUGAGCACUCACGGUGUCACAUCCAUGCAAGAAAAUAAAUUAUAUUUCUGUAUAUUAAUUAGUUAAUUGAUGGAUUCCACACUUGUCAUUGGUCUAUGGGGUUGGGGUGUUGCUUAACGGAAAGCAGUUUUAGGUUGCAUGAUAUGGAAAAGUAAUUGUGCGUUGUGAGUUCUGAUAAUAGUGAAGCCAUUUGGUACACUAGUUGUUGGAGUUGUGGAUGUGAGUGUAAAUUUCUGAAAUGCACAUGAGGAGUUGAUGGGUUGUAUAGAAAUUGUUAUAUUAAAUGUAGAUUGGGCCAUAAAUUGUUAAAUUUAGCUAAUUGUAUACAAUAGAUUUUCUAGUUAGUUCUUGCUAGUAAUUUUGCACUUAAUUAAAUAAAAAGAUUCUUUACUAAGCACACAAUUUGCACUUAAUUAUGUGGCACCCUAACUACACUUUCUACUAUAAGCACACUAAUUUGCACUUACAUUUAACUAAUAAUUAGACAACGUUGAUCACUUGAGAAAUACUUCGUCCGUCCCAUUAUAUAAGAGCGUUUUUGACACUACAGUAUUGUCAAAAAUGCUCUUAUAUCAUGGGACGGAUGGAGUAGUAAGCAACUGUGUGCCUCGGUGUAUUAGCAAUAGGACAUUUGGUGGGGUUUCUAUUUAGUUCAGCUUUUGGCUUAUAUGCCCAGAAAGCCACAACAAAAGUGUACCAAAGCCGAACCAAAGCUAGCCAUUGUCUCAUACUUUUGGCCAAAUCUUGCCAUAGUUAUGGCGCCAAUUACUUCACCAUAAUUUUUGUGUCUUGACAAACAUAGCUACAAGACAUAGCCCAUUUGUUGGCGAUUAAGGCAACACCUAUCGUUGAAGUAGUUAAUCUUGUACAAGAUCUUUCGACCUCGUAAUUUAGAUUAUACAUUACAAAUCCAUAUAAGCAAGAAAUCUAAGGCCUAAAUUGUAACUUGUUCACCGGACGAGGUAGUAUUGCUCCCGCGAUUCACCCAUCAAUUUUUGUGUGUUAGGACCUAAUUUGUUCUAUCUGUGUAUUAGGGACCCAACAACCAAUAGUAGGCAUCCUACUAUCAACACUUGCAACGAUGCGACCAUCCUCCUCCAACUAUUAUAGGUAAUAGACAUAUGAGACAAUACAUUCGAGGCUGGAAGAGAGUUUUUUUGUGGGUGAAAGAGAUUUAUAGGAAACAAAGAUAUCGAACAUUCAGUCGUAAGGAAGGCAGGUGGACCACAAAUGUAACGCCAUCACUAUCGGCGCUAAUUUCUAUUGUUAGAGCAAAGAACAUGACCAACUUAGAUAACAACAAUGAUAAAAUGUGCGACCUCUUCAAGUGUCACGACAACAUUAGUCCGAAGAUAAAGGAGCCCAGGAACAAAAUAGAGGAAGCAGACUCUCAGGUUAUCGAAAUGAAUUUCUAAAACUAUUGGCAGUAUGUCAAUUGAGGUGAAUUAAUCAUAGUUUUUCAUAAUAUACAAUCUACCUUGUUUGACACAUCUUCACAUGAAGUAUGGAAAAAACUAAUUCAGAGACUUGUUAAUGUCCUC